AGAUUUUGUAUAGGCUUCCUCGGACUGAAUUUUCCACUUCUCCUGGCAUGGUGUGUUUGGCAUUCACCUGUAUGGAUUUUCCUCUGAACCACCAUAUGGAAUGGGUCAGGCCCUUGUGAGGUUGUGAGGCCUGAGACAAUUGCUUCUUCUACCAUAUGAACCCUCAUGCCUGGAGGCAAGCUCAACUCCUCACUUUUGAGGAGCCAGUAGAACACAAUGAGGCAAAUCUGUCCGACAAACCUCCAGGCACGGCAAAUCUUCAGUAGCCGAUAUCAAGUGGGCACUGGUUUCCCUGGAGCAUUUUGAGGCAGUGGCUUUAUCCAUUCUCGAGGUCCAAAUAAUAUUUUAGUCAAAAGACAAAGACUAUUUAAAGCUCCAUACAGUCAUUGUAAAAAAUAUAUAUUGAUCAUCACUAUAUGUUCAAUAACUCCAAAACCUCCUUCGGCCCAUAAAAUGCUCACUUUGUGCAAAUGGGAAAAUAUUUACAUACAAUGCAAUAAUUUUGCUGAUUAGAUGGUCUAAAACUCACACACCCUGUGUAACUGUGAUGCAGCAGCGCCUUCUCUUACAUCUAGAUUGAACCAAGGCCCCCUUGAGGGGCAGCAUCUCCAAAGCUGCAGAGACAGGGGGUUGUUGAAACAUAAAAGAGACCCUGAUGUACAGGACAUGGCAGAGACCUCAUUGCCUGUGUUGCCUGACCUCAUUGCCUGUGUUGCCUGACCUCAUUGCCUGUGUUGCCUGACCUCAUUGCCUAUGUUGCCUGACCUCAUUGCCUGUAUUGCCUGACCUCAUUGCCUGUAUUGUUGUUUUGCCCCUGAGCCAUGAGAAAGAAGAGUUCUGAGGCUGCCGAGUCCACGACAACUGCCACUGAUACCCCCAGAGCCACCACCCCUGGCAGCACAGAAGCCUCAUUUAUCAAGUGCGCAUUAUGCAGAAAUCUGUACUUAAACCAUGAAAUCUGUGCAUCAACCAUGGAACUUUCAGCACAAAGUUGAAGCUUUAUCAACAUUAUUGUUUGCAGUGUUCUUAAGUUAACGCACAUCCAUGACCGAUUCAUAUGCACAGUGUUAAGUGAUAGAAUAAGGGAACUGCUUUUCAAAUGUAGACUGAUUAAUGUUGAACCUUUUUUAAAUGUAUAAAUGAAUGCCCGAAAUAGAUUCUAAAAUGAGUAUGAACAGACUACACGUGAAUGCAAACUGAUAGAUGGACCAGUAAGAAAGUUUAAAUGAGGUAUAUCACAUUCACUUUAUAAACAUUAAGUUAAAGAAUUAACUGCAGAUAUCCCCUUUAAACAAUAUUUGAAUGCCAUUGAUUUUCUAUUGUGAAUUCAUGCAACAUUUCUUA